rnacentral:rRNA from 1 species
UACGUAGGGACCGAGCGUUGUCCGGAAUCAUUGGGCGUAAAGGGCGCGUAGGCGGCGGGGUAAGUCGGGUGUGAAAUCUCAGGGCUCAACCCUGAAACUGCACUCGAUACUGCUCUGCUUGAGGACUGGAGAGGAGACUGGAAUUCACGGUGUAGCAGUGAAAUGCGUAGAUAUCGUGAGGAAGACCAGUGGCGAAGGCGGGUCUCUGGACAGUUCCUGACGCUGAGGCGCGAAGGCCAGGGGAGCAAACGGG